rnacentral:sRNA from 1 species
UGGUAGAUGCACCCUGAUGUCCUCCCCGGCGGAUUCCGCUGGGGAUUUUUUUG